AGACAGCAGUCGCCACGGUAAUACAGAGGGUGCGAGCGUUAAUCGGAUUUACUGGGCGUAAAGCGUGCGUAGGCGGCUUUUUAAGUCGGAUGUGAAAUCCCUGAGCUUAACUUAGGAAUUGCAUUCGAUACUGGGAAGCUAGAGUAUGGGAGAGGAUGGUAGAAUUCCAGGUGUAGCGGUGAAAUGCGUAGAGAUCUGGAGGAAUACCGAUGGCGAAGGCAGCCAUCUGGCCUAAUACUGACGCUGAGGUACGAAAGCAUGGGGAGCAAACAGGAUUAGAUACCCGAGUAGUCCCUGUCUCUUAUAC
rnacentral:rRNA from 1 species